rnacentral:lncRNA from 1 species
GCAAAUGCAAGGACGAAGAACUCACCAUGCUGGGGGCUGACGUGGACCUACACGGCAGCGAUAGUAUGGGGAAUCUGGACCGAAAGGAACAGGAGAGUGCACGAGGACAGACGCAGGAGCCCACAGGAGAGAGGGAGAAGGACAGUGCAGGAUGUAACAUCGACAUUCAAGGUGGACAGGUACAAGGCAAAAGGAACGAGAAGAUAACAGAGAUGGAUGGAUGUAUGGACCGGAGGCGCCCAGUCGG